rnacentral:misc_RNA from 1 species
UCUCCGUUGGUGAACCAGCGGAGGGAUCAUUACCGAGUUUACAACUCCCAAACCCCUGUGAACAUACCAUUUGUUACCUCGGCGGUGCCUGCUUCGGCAGCCCGCCAGAGGACCCAAACCCUUGAUUUUAUACAGUAUCUUCUGAGUAAAUGAUUAAAUAAAUCAAAACUUUCAACAACGGAUCUCUUGGUUCUG